rnacentral:rRNA from 1 species
CAGUAGCCGCGGUAAUACGGAGGGAGCUAGCGUUAUUCGGAAUUACUGGGCGUAAAGCGCACGUAGGCGGCUUUGUAAGUUAGAGGUGAAAGCCUGGAGCUCAACUCCAGAAUUGCCUUUAAGACUGCAUCGCUCGAAUCCAGGAGAGGUGAGUGGAAUUCCGAGUGUAGAGGUGAAAUUCGUAGAUAUUCGGAAGAACACCAGUGGCGAAGGCGGCUCACUGGACUGGUAUUGACGCUGAGGUGCGAAAGCGUGGGGAGCAAACAGGAUUAGAUACCCCUGUAGUCCCUGUCUCUUAUAC